rnacentral:rRNA from 1 species
AUUGAACACUGGCUCCCCGCUUAACGCAUGCUAAUCAAACCAUGAAAUCCAGCUUGCUAGACGGAUAAUUGCCGAACACGUGACUAAUGCUUAAGAAUCUGCCUAUAAUUGGGGGAUAACGUAGGGAAACUUACCCUAAUACCGCACACUACCUACCGGUGAAAGGCGGCUUUUAGCUCUCGCUGAUAAAUGAACCUAAUCCCCAUUAUCUACCUGGUGGGGUAAAGGCCUACCCUUGCAACGAUCUGUAUCUGGAUCUGAGAGGAUGAUCAGCCACUCUGCUACUGACACAACGUCCACACUCCUACCGCGAGCAGCACUGACGAAUAUUGUGACAACGGCCGAAAGCCUGAUCCACCCAUGCCACGUGUGUGACUAAAGACUUUUGGUUGUAAAGCACUAUAUGUGGGGAGGAAACGCUUAUGGUUAAUACCCAUAAGCUCUGACAUUACUCGUACAAUACCCCCCCGCUAACUCUGAGCCACCACCCUCCGUAAUACCUACGGUGCCAGAGUGCAUCAUACUUACUGUGCGUAAAUCGCGCGUAGGUGGUUUUUAAGUCAGAUGUGAAAGCCCCCGGCUCAAUCUGGGAACUGCAUCUGAUACUGGAUAACUUGAGUGCGUGAGAGGGGAGUGGAAUUCCAUGUGUAGCGGUGAAAUGCGCAGAGAUCUGGAGGAACACCGAUGGCGAAGGCGACUCCCUGGUCUCUUACUGACACUGAUGUGCGAAAGCGUGGGUAUCAAACAGGAUUAGAUACCCUGGUAGUCCACGCCGUAAACGAUGACUGCCAAUCGUUGGGUGUCCAAAAGAUCUAGAGAAGCAGUGACCGCAAUAAGUAGACGGCGUGGGGAGUACGGCGGCAAGGGUAAAACUCAAAUGAAGUGACGGGGGACCCCCCCAACCGGAGGAGCACGUGGGUUAUUUCGAUGCAACGGGAAGAACCGAUCCGGGUCCUGACAUAGUGAGAAUGUUGCAGAGAUGUGAGAGUGCCUUCCGGAAUUCACGAACAGGUGCUGCAGGGUCGUGGUCAGGUCGGGUCGGGAGAUGAGGGGUCAAGUCCCGCAUCGAGCGCAACCGUUGUCUUUAGUUACCAGCGACUCGGUGGGGAACUCUAAGGAUACAGCCAGUGACGAACGGGAGGAAGGAGGGGAGGAAGCCAAGUCAUCAUGGCCCUUAGGACCAGGGGGACACACGUGUUAUCAAGGGAUGGUACAAAGGGUCGCGACACAGUGACGGGAUGAUAAUCUGAAAAAGCCAAUGGUAGUCCGGAGUGGAGUGUGCAACUCGGAGACACGAAGUUGGAAUCGGUAGUAAUGGCAGAUCAGAAUGAGGCGGCGAACAAGUUCCCGGCCUG